rnacentral:rRNA from 1 species
GGGGGGAAAUGGGGGGGCGUGCUACACAUGCAAGUCGAACGGGAAUCUUCGGAUUCUAGUGGCGGACGGGUGAGUAACGCGUAAGAAUCUAACUUCAGGACGGGGACAACAGUUGGAAACGACUGCUAAUACCCGAUGUGCCGCAAGGUGAAACCUAAUUGGCCUGGAGAAGAGCUUGCGUCUGAUUAGCUAGUUGGUGGGGUAAGAGCCUACCAAGGCGACGAUCAGUAGCUGGUCUGAGAGGAUGAGCAGCCACACUGGGACUGAGACACGGCCCAGACUCCUACGGGAGGCAGCAGUGGGGAAUUUUCCGCAAUGGGCGAAAGCCUGACGGAGCAACGCCGCGUGAGGGAGGAAGGUCUUUGGAUUGUAAACCUCUUUUCUCAAGGAAGAAGUUCUGACGGUACUUGAGGAAUCAGCCUCGGCUAACUCCGUGCCAGCAGCCGCGGUAAUACGGGGGAGGCAAGCGUUAUCCGGAAUUAUUGGGCGUAAAGCGUCCGCAGGUGGUCAGCCAAGUCUGCCGUCAAAUCAGGUUGCUUAACGACCUAAAGGCGGUGGAAACUGGCAGACUAGAGAGCAGUAGGGGUAGCAGGAAUUCCCAGUGUAGCGGUGAAAUGCGUAGAGAUUGGGAAGAACAUCGGUGGCGAAAGCGUGCUACUGGGCUGUAUCUGACACUCAGGGACGAAAGCUAGGGGAGCGAAAGGGAUUAGAUACCCCUGUAGUCCUAGCCGUAAACGAUGGAUACUAGGCGUGGCUUGUAUCGACCCGAGCCGUGCCGAAGCUAACGCGUUAAGUAUCCCGCCUGGGGAGUACGCACGCAAGUGUGAAACUCAAAGGAAUUGACGGGGGCCCGCACAAGCGGUGGAGUAUGUGGUUUAAUUCGAUGCAACGCGAAGAACCUUACCAAGACUUGACAUGUCGCGAACCCUGGUGAAAGCUGGGGGGUGCCUUCCGGGAGCGCGAACACAGGUGGGUGCAUGGCUGUCGGCCAGCUCGUGUCGUGAGAUGUUGGGUUAAGUCCCGCAACCAAGNGAAACC